UACAGAGACUGCAAGCGUUAUUCGGAUUCACUGGGCGUAAAGGGUGCGCAGGCGGUUGGGUGUGUCAGAUGUGAAAUCCCGAGGCUUAACCUCGGAACUGCGUCUGAAACUACUCGACUAGAGUACUGGAGAGGGAAACGGAAUUCACGGGUGUAGCAGUGAAAUGCGUAGAUAUCGUGAGGAACACCAGAGGCGAAGGCGGUUUCCUGGACAGUUACUGACGCUCAGGCACGAAAGCAUGGGGAGCAAAAGGG
rnacentral:rRNA from 1 species